rnacentral:rRNA from 1 species
CGAGGAGGUAGGGCUUACGCUCGCGUUUGUCUGUUAUAUCUUGGUGGACGAGUUGUCGCGGUUGGGACUGAGGUGCCUACAACGUGCUUUUGAGUGAGUUUGUGUCUCCGUGUGCGCCGUGUGCGGAUAGCUUGCUAUGUAUGUGCGGUUGUGUGUGGAUUGAUGCGGGCUUUAACUUGUUGCCGUUCGGGACGUUGGCGAAAUGGAGCGAUCCGACCCGUCUUGAAACACGGACCAAGGAGUCUAACAUGUGUGCAAGUGUUAGGGUGUGGAAACCCCAGCGCGAAAUGAAAGUGAAGGGCAGCGCAAGUUGUCUGAGGUAGGAAACGUUGUGGACUUCGGUCUGCGGCGUGGCACUAUCGACCGAUCAUGAACCUUCGUGGUGAAAGAUUUGAGUUUGAGCACAUAUGUUGGUACCCGAAAGAUGGUGAACUAUGCCUGAGUAGGGUGAAGCCAGGGGAAACUCUGGUGGAAGCUCGUAGCGAUUCUGACGUGCAAAUCGAUCGUCAAACUUGGGUAUAGGGGCGAAAGACUAAUCGAACCAUCUAGUAGCUGGUUCCCUCCGAAAUUUCCCUCAGGAUAGCAGCAACUUAUUUACGAUAGUUUUAUGAGGUAAAGCGAAUGAUUAGAGGAUUCGGGGAAGAAACUUCCUCGACCUAUUCUCAAACUUUAAAUCUGUAAGACCUGCAGGUUUCUUAAU